UGGUGGUUAACUAAUAUUUGUGUGUCGUUGUUUCUUUACAGAUAUAAAAGCUAUUAAAAACCAACUGAUCAAGAAUGAAAAAUACGCAUUAACAUAAAUUACGCAAUUUUAAAAUUGAAAUAAAUUUACUUUUCGUGUGACAUCAUAUCUGCUGUAGCAGCAAUUUCAUAGCAGAGUAUGCCACUAAAGAUGAACACACACACACACAGCAAGCACACCUAAGAAAAAACUAUACGCAGAAACAAAACACAAAAACAAAAUAUAAACAUAAUAUCAAUACAAAACAAACUUGAAAAACUUACUGAUUUCCCGCUAGACCAGGAAUGAAAAAUACGCAUUAACAUAAAUAUCGUUAUUUUUAGUAAAUUUACUCUUAGUGGGACAUACCUGCUGUAGCAGCAAUUUCGUAGCAGAGUAUGCCCACUAAAGAUGAACACACACACAGCAAGCACACACCUAAGAAAAAA